rnacentral:rRNA from 1 species
AUUGAACGCUGGCGGCAGGCCUAACACAUGCAAGUCGAACGAGUGGCGGACGGGUGAGUAAUGUCUGGGAAACUGCCCGAUGGAGGGGGAUAACUACUGGAAACGGUAGCUCAUACCGCAUACCAUCGGAUGUGCCCAGAUGGUCUUAGCUAGUAGGUGGGGUAACGGCUCACCUAGGCGACGAUCCCUAGCUGGUCUGAUAGGAUGACCAGCCACACUGUAACUGAGACACGGUCCAGACUCCGAUGGGAUGCAGCAGUGGGGAAUAUUGCACAAUGGGCGCAAGCCUGAUGCAGCCAUGCCGCGUGUAUGAAGAAGGCCUUCGGGUGGUAAAGUACUUUCAGCGAGGAGGCGUUACUCGCAGAAGAAGCACCGGCUAACUCCGUGCCAGCAGCCGCGGUAAUAC